UAACGCUUAGGUCCAGAAUCGGGUUUC
rnacentral:piRNA from 1 species